UACGUAGGGACCAAGCGUUGUCCGGAUUUAUUGGGCGUAAAGAGCUCGUAGGCGGCCCUCCACGUCGGAUGUGAAAGCUCAGGGCUCAACCCUGAGAUGCCAUUCGAUACGGGAAGGCUAGAGGUAGGUAGGGGAAAGUGGAACUCCUGGUGUAGCGGUGAAAUGCGCAGAUAUUGCUCGGAAGGCCGGAGCCGAAGGGGCCCCACUGGUACGUAACUGACGCUGAGGCACGAAAGCGUGGGGAGCAAACAGG
rnacentral:rRNA from 1 species